CUCUCAGAUGAUCUGAAACCACUUCAGUCUGUCUGAAGCUCUCAUGAACAUUUCCUGUUAAGUAUUGUUUUCAAUAAUUUAUUCUGGAGGAGAUGUUGGCUCCCCUGGGAAUCACUUUGCAGCACAUCCCCUCCAGAGACCAGCUACAGACAUCAGGCGCCAGGAUAGAAGAGUCGCUCUGUGUAGACGGUGGACCAGGAAUAAGGUUGCCUCAAAAAAAUAAUAGCUGACAUCCGCCCCACCCUCCACUCUUCAAUCAAGCCAGUCAGGCAAUGAACCUUUUCACACCUGAGGGAUUAUUUUUGCUUUUGUCUGAUUCUGCUGUGUUAAAGGAAACAAGUGUUGAGAAAGGACUCAAUUAACUGAGCUUCAGGAUAAUCCAAGGUGAAGAAAAACAAGAGCUGACAAAGAAAAGAAAUGGGUGAGUCAAGACAGGCACUGGGGUCUCUUCCCACAGACCUUGGGUGGGUUCAAUGGAACCUUGAGGCCUGGGUUUAACUGGGCCUAACCCCACCCCAGGGAUGUAUGGGGGUUAAAGGGAUUAAUACUAACCUACUGACUGGUUGGAAGGGCCUGGGAGUCUGGGAAAUUAGUGGGAAAAACAAAACAGAAGGUACUUAGAGUCCCAAUCAAGACAGCAACUUUUAAUACUGAUUUCUUAAUGGCAAUUCACAGCCUUGACCUAACCAGUUCCUUAAUCCUGCUCCAGUAUACAAGCAAGUUCUACAGUGUUUGUUCCUUAAUAGCUCUUUCUGAUUAUCUAGCAUUUUGAUUCAUUUGCUGACCUUCAGAUAUUUAUUGUUGUCCUGGUUGUUUAAAGGGCACUUUAUUUAGGUAUCUUAAUUGGCCUCUUCCAGGUGUUUUCAGCUUAAACAUUCAGGUCUAUUUUUUGUCACUCCUCCUGGUGGCCCACCAGGGUAAGAUAGAUUUGGGGCAACUAAG
rnacentral:lncRNA from 1 species